UUCCGGUUGAUCCUGCCGGAGGCUACCGCUAUUGGAGUUCGAUUAAGCCAUGCGAGUCUAGAGGCCUAGCCUCGGCGUACCGCUCAGUAACACGUGGGUAACCUACCCUAUGCUGGGGAAUAAGCUCGGGAAACUGAGAAUAAUACCCCAUAGUCCACUACGCCUGGAACGGUGAGUGGAUCAAAGCUCCGGCGGCAUAGGAUGGGCCUGCGGCGUAUCAGGUUGUAGGGGGUGUAAUGUACCCUCUAGCCAUCCACGCGUACGGGUGUUGGGAGACAUUGCCCGGAGAUGGAUUCUGAGACACGAAUCCAGACCCUACGGGGUGCAGCAGGCGCGAAAACUUGGCAAUGCGAGAAAUCGUGACCAGGGAACUCCAAGUGGCAGGGGUAAGACCCUGUCUUUUUCCGACUCUAAAUAGGUCGGCGAAUAAGGGGUGGGUAAGGACGGUGCCAGCCGCCGCGGUAAUACCGGCGCCUCAAGUGGUAGUCGCUUUUAUUGGGCCUAAAACGUCCGUAGCCGGUCUGGUACAUUCGUGGGUAAAUCAACUCGCUUAACGAGUUGAAUUCUGCGAGGACGGCCAGACUUGGGACCGGGAGAGGUGUGGGGUACUCUCAGGGUAGGGGUAAAAUCCUGUCAUCCUGAGAGGACCACCUGUUGCGAAGGCUCCACACUAGAACGGAUCCGACGGUCAGGGACGAAGCCUAGGGGCACGAACCGGAUUAGAUACCCGGGUAGUCCUAGGCGUAAACGCUGUGGACUUGAUGUUGGGGACGCUCCGAGCGUUCUCAGUGUCGAAGCGAAGGUGAUAAGUCCACUGCCUGGGGAGUACGGUCGCAAGGCUGAAACUUAAAGGAAUUGGCGGGGGAGCACCGCAACCUGAGGAUUGUGCGGUUUAAUUGGAUUCAACGCCGGA
rnacentral:rRNA from 1 species